CUUCACCGAGCCCAGCAGCAGCGGCCGGUCCUCGGGCCGCUCCUGGCCGUACGUGGCCAGCAGCGCCUGCGCUUC
rnacentral:antisense_RNA from 1 species